rnacentral:rRNA from 1 species
AACGAACGCUGGCGGCAGGCCUAACACAUGCAAGUCGAGCGAGGACUUCGGUUCUAGCGGCGGACGGGUGAGUAACGCGUGGGAAUGUGCCCUUCUCUACGGAAUAGCCCUGGGACACUGGGAGUAAUACCGUAUACGCCCUAUUGGGGAAAGAUUUAUCGGAGAAGGAUCAGCCCGCGUUGGAUUAGGUAGUUGGUGGGGUAAUGGCCUACCAAGCCGACGAUCCAUAGCUGGUUUGAGAGGAUGAUCAGCCACACUGGGACUGAGACACGGCCCAGACUCCUACGGGAGGCAGCAGUGGGGAAUCUUAGACAAUGGGGGCAACCCUGAUCUAGCCAUGCCGCGUGAGUGAUGAAGGCCUUAGGGUUGUAAAGCUCUUUCAGCUGGGAAGAUAAUGACGGUACCAGCAGAAGAAGCCCCGGCUAACUCCGUG